rnacentral:rRNA from 1 species
UUAAUAUGCGAUUUUCAAAAUAGGGGAAUCCAAAUGAAACCCUUUUUUGUGCCUACGGUAAACGCUGGGUAGCCAAGUGCGGAGAGGAUAACUGCUGAAAGCAUAUAACCAGUAAGCCCAUCCCAAGAUGAGUGCUCUCUCCUCCGACUUCCCUAGAGCCUUCGGUAUCAGAGCCGAGACAACGACGGGUUCUCCACCCAU